rnacentral:tRNA from 1 species
AAGGUACUAGUUAAAUUUUUAUAACAUUGCUUUGUCAAGGCAAAAUUGUGGGUUAGACCCCUGCGUAUCUUG